CCCCCGCCCCGGCAGCCCCGUCGCCGCGCCCGCCUCAACCCCCGCAGCGCGGAGGAACGCGGCAGGAAAGGGGGAAACCCCUCCGCCGCCGCCACCACCACAGCCGCCUCAGCCGCCGCCUGGGCUGGGCGGGCCGUGCUGUGCCGCGAUCCCCCCGCCUCUACCGGCCGCGGGCACCCGCCUUCCCCCCGCCGCGCAGGGCCGCGGGCAGCGCAUGGCAAGUGGGCGGCGGGGCCGCGGGCGCGGAGCUCCGCCUGCGCGGCCGCGGGAGCAGCGCGGUCGCACCGCACCGCAGCACAACCGCGUGUGCACGCACGUAGCGCACCGCUCUACACAUGGCUGUAUGUACACACAUACGGACCGCGCAGGCGGUGUUCCGUGGGGAUGCCUGCGCCGGCGUGCCUGUAUUUACUACAUGUAUUUAAAGGGCGGCUGAAGGGGCGAGAGGAAAUCCCCCUCUGCUCCGGCAGGCUUGCGGGUUUCAGUGCAGCAACACAGAGCUGAAGAGAAAGGUGUUUCAGAGGCCGCUGGAGGGUUGCCAAACUCUCACAGGUUUUUGUGUCAAAAUUACUGUUGGACGCCUUGAGGUUUAUGUGAGGUGAAAUGUAGAGGCUCGGUGCUGGGCAAGCAAGCUAAGCAGGGCCCGCAGGCAGGAGUGCAGGAUUCCCUCUCCCAGUAUCCUCCGAGCAGCCCUUCUGCAGCUCAUGACUAGCUGCAAACCACUGCCAUGGAUUGCCCAUGGAACACCGUGUGCUUCUCUGCUGUCAUGUGGCUGAUCUCAGUUCUCACUCUCUCCUCACAAUUUUACAAGGAGUGUUUUCGUCUGUGUCAAGGAUAAAACAUAAAACACCCACAAAAACAAAGAGCAGGAGCAGGUUUCCCUGCCUACCAUCCUGGACUUCAUUACUGAACUUAGAGGAUGGCCACUGUGGCCUGAUGCCUGGCCACCCUGAAGGGACGCUUGCACCGAGAGCUGGUGGCAGCACUCAGGAACUCAGCACACUAAAGCUGAAGAAGUUACCUGGGGUGAGCUGUGGAGGAAAACCUAAACUAGUUUUGCUACAGUCACAAUGAAGGUGUUGCAUUGCCACGAACUAUUCCAUCUGCCAAUGCAGUGGCCAGAGCUUGUGCUAUACCAUCCUAUACCAUAAACUGUAAAAAUGCAGCUUGGAAGAAGGCCUCCCCUGCCUAUCUGGUGCCAAGUGCUGUACCAGGAUGUGAUAAAAAUGACUCUGCCUUCAAGAGCUGACACUGUGUUCCUGGAGCUGCCAUGGAGAAGUAAGCAAAGGGGUGACUGAGAACAACAGCAACGAUGACGCAUGGUUUCAGGGACAGCCUGUCAGCACGGCAGACUUACAGACCGAGGGGGUUCUGUAAUUGAGAUGCUGCAAGAGAAGCCUUAUGGGGAUGGACUUGCAGACAAGAGCGAGAGAAAACUACACUUGUAGUAAAAGCAUCGCUCAGAGAGGAUCCCUCAACACCCUAGCACUGACCUUUGAAGUUGGAAGGACACAUGGCCUGGACAGGUAAGGGAAUUCCUUUGCUGCUUAUUUUAUGGUAUUUUCUGCUGUAAAGCAUGCUUGUACAAAGAAAGAGCAGGUUGCAAAACUGUGUUUAAGAAGAACUGGAUUUGUCAGCUGUGACAAUAGCUGAGGGAAGAUUUAAAUAAAAAUAAUAGGUGUUUCUCAUCUCUAAUGUCUAUAAUUAGUGAAUAAAGCAUAAAACCCAGCACAUCAU
rnacentral:lncRNA from 1 species